rnacentral:rRNA from 1 species
UGCAUGCUUUUACAGUAUGGAAAUUGGUGAUUUAUAAUAACUUGGCAAAUCGCAAAGUGAAAACAGGCGAUAAAUCAUUCAAGUUUCUGACCUAUCAGCUUUCGACGGUAUGGUAUUGGCUUACCGUGGCAGUGACGGUUAACGGGGGAUUAGGGUUCGAUUCCGGAGAGGGAGCCUGAGAAACGGCUACCACAUCUAAGGAAGGCAGCAGGCGCGCAAAUUACCCAAUUCUAACAGUUUGAGAGAGGUAGUAACAAGAAAUAACAAUACAAGGCAAUUAAAAUGCUUUGUAAUUGGAAUGAUAGAAAUUUAAACCCUUUUUAAAGUAUCAAUUGGAGGGCAAGUCUGGUGCCAGCAGCCGCGGUAAUUCCAGCUCCAAUAGCGUAUAUUAAAAUUGUUGCAGUUAAAAAGCUCGUAGUUGAAGUUCUGCUAAAAGUAACCGGUCUGCUUUUAAUAAAAGUGGUAUCUUGGUGUGUAUUUAGCAAUGAUGUCCUUUGAAGUGUUUUUUACUUUAUUGUAAUAAAGCAUAUUCAGGACUUUUACUUUGAG